rnacentral:tRNA from 1 species
AAAUAUUUAAUCUAAGAAAGACUACUAAUUUCGACUUAGUAAAUUUUGGUUAAACUCCAAAAAUAUUUU